rnacentral:rRNA from 1 species
UACAGAGGGGGCGAGCGUUGUUCGGAAUUACUGGGCGUAAAGCGUGCGCAGGCGGUUCGUUAAGUUCGUUGUGAAAGCCCCGGGCUCAACCUGGGAACUGCAAUGGAAACUGGCGGGCUUGAGUGUGGCAGAGGGGGGUGGAAUUCCGCGUGUAGCAGUGAAAUGCGUAGAGAUGCGGAGGAACACCGAUGGCGAAGGCAGCCCCCUGGGCCAACACUGACGCUCAGGCACGAAAGCGUGGGGAGCAAACAGG